AUUGAACGCUGGCGGAAUGCUUUACACAUGCAAGUCGAACGGCAGCACGGACUUCGGUCUGGUGGCGAGUGGCGAACGGGUGAGUAAUACAUCGGAACGUGCCCAAUCGUGGGGGAUAACGUAGCGAAAGCUACGCUAAUACCGCAUACGAUCUAAGGAUGAAAGCGGGGGAUCGCAAGACCUCGCGCGAUUGGAGCGGCCGAUGGCAGAUUAGGUAGUUGGUAGGGUAAAGGCCUACCAAGCCGACGAUCUGUAGCUGGUCUGAGAGGAUGAUCAGGCACUCUGGGACUGAGACACGGGCCGGACUCCUAGGGGAGGCGGCGGUGGGGGAUUUUGGACAAUGGACGCAAGUCUGAUCCAGCCAUUCCGCGUGCAGGAUGAAGGCCCUCGGGUUGUAAACUGCUUUUGUACAGAACGAAAAGGCUCUGGUUAAUACCUAGGGCUCAUGACGGUACUGUAAGAAUAAGCACCGGCUAACUACGUGCCAGCCGCCGCGGUAA
rnacentral:rRNA from 1 species